rnacentral:tRNA from 1 species
GGUGGCUCAAUGGUAGAGCGCUUGCCUUGUAUGCAUGAGGCCCUGAGUUCAAUUCCUCAGCACCA